GAUCUGGGGAGUGGCCAGCAGUGUACUUGGUCUCCACUGAGGGGUGAGCUCGGAAGAGGUGAUGGGGCAGGGUCUGCUUACCUGAGGUAGGAGAUGACGCCCAUGGCCCUGCAAGAAUGAAAACACCCCAUUUGUGAGUUACACCAGGCCUGUCCCACAGGCAAGGGGUAUGCACGGGGGGUGGGGUUGGGGGGUGGGGGUGGCUGGAAGAGGAGGCAGAGGCUCCUCAGCUGCCAGACAGACACACGAAGGACAGGGAGGCUCCAGAUCAACAGCCCUCUAGGUGGGCCAUCCACUCACCAGAUGUCUGAGCCCUCGCUCACAGGAUUCUGCUCAAUGAUCUCUGGGGACACGAAUUCGGGUGAGCCAUACUUGCUGUACUGUGGCUCUGAAGGGGUGAUCUUUUGGGCAAAGCCAAAGUCACAGAUCUUGAUGUCUUCCCGAGCUGGGUGCACCAUCAGGAUGUUGGGGGGCUGUCAAACAGAGUUGAGAAGUUGUUCAAGGCUACACUUCAUGAAAAAGGUAACUCCUACCCUCUGGGCCUAGGAGAGCACUGAAGAGUCCUUGAGGCUAGUAAAGGGCAGUGGGGAGUCCCCAGGACCGAGAGGGGAAUCACAUCUACUCCAUGAGAGCCAAACCCUACCCGAGGUAGUAGAAACCAAGCACAGGCUGGCUCCCAGCUGUGCCCACCACGAGUUCUGGGGGUGCCGUGAAUGCAAUACCUUUAUGUCCAGGUGGAGGAUACCAUGGCUGUGCAAAUAGUGUAGGCCUUCCACCAGCUGCUGGAUAUAGACUUUGACCUGUGGAAAAUGCCAGGAUCAGUUUGGAACCAGCCCCCAAGAGGCUGGCUCAGGAACCUCCUGAAGGCUGACCCAGGUGAGGAGCCAGCCUCAGGUACCUCCUGAAGACCUGGUCCAAAUGAGGGGCCAGCCUCAGAAAACUCAUGAAGGCCUGACCCAGGUGAGGGGCAAGCAUCAGGUACCUCCUGAAGGCCUGACCCGGGUUGGGGGCCAGCCUCAGGUACCUCCUGAAGGCCUGACCCAGGUGAGGGGCAAGCAUCAGGUACCUCCUGAAGGCCUGACCCGGGUUGGGGGCCAGCCUCAGGUACCUCCUGAAGGCCUGACCCAGGUGAGGGGCCAGCCUCAGGUACCUCCUGAAGGCCUGGCCCAGGUGAGGAGCCAGCCUCAGGUACCUUCUGAAGGCCUGACCCGGGUAAGGGGCCAGCCUCAGGUAUCUCCUGAAGGCCUGAUCCGGAUGAGGGUCCAGCCUCAGGAACCUCCUGAAAGCCUGACCCAGGUGAGGGGCCAGCCUCAGGUACCUCCUGAAGGCCUAGUCCAAAUGAGGGUCCAGCCUCAGGAACCUCCUGAAGGCCUGACCCAGGUGAGGGGCCAGCCUCAGGAACCUCCUGAAGGCCUGGCCCAGAUGAGGGACCAGCAUCAGGUACCUCCUGAAGACCUGACCCAGGUGAGGGGCCAGCCUCAGGUACCUCCUGAAGGCCUGGCCCAGGUGAGGGGCCAGCCUCAGGUACCUCCUGAAAGCCUGACCCGGGUGAGGGACUAGCCUCAGGUACCUCCUGAAGACCUGGCCCAGGUGAGGGGCCAGCCUCAGCCUCCUCUAUUCCAUAGGAGCUUGCUUCGAUCAUCAAGCCUUCCUCCUCUUAAUUCAGGCCCCAUAGAUCAAGUGACUGACAAAGUCACAGGUCAGGAACUGCAAGCCCCAGGGCUGGGUGUUUCCCAAAGGUGGGCUGAGCCUAAAUAGGCAGGAAGCAUCAGUCUGCUUAAAUGAGGGAGGGGCAGAUAUCACUAGUACAGCUGUUCCCCUAUGGUCAGGACGGGUGGCAGAGGCUGGUUAUACCUGGCUACCUUGGAAGCUACAAGAGACUCAAGUCAAAAGAGGCUGUGUCCAGGGACUGGAAUGUAGGCUCUGACUCUAGGGACACACUCAGGCAAGGAGAAGGUAGAGAUUACCUCGGCUUCAGUCACUACACCCUUCUUGAAGAGCCGAUCCAGCAGCUCCUCAGACGAGCACCUGGGUUUCGUUAAGGAAAAGCUGCACAUGACUCCCCGGGGCCUGUGCUCCCAGAAAGGUACCCAGACCUCCUGUGAGCCAGAUCUAGAGGUGCUGGUAUUCUGAUGAAGGAGAGUGGAAUGAUGACCCUUGGGUCCCAGAUGGGUCACAUCCCUGAGAAAGGGACCUUCAGAAAGACCCUCUGGUGAGUGGGGCUGUGAGCAGCAGCCUAAUGGAACUUGGACACUCUUGCAUCUCUGCACAGAGCCCACUCCACGCAGCCCUUCACCGGGAUCCUAGGACAGUUUCAGGAGUGAAAGGGCAGCCAGAAUGUGAAAUAAGUAAGAGCCCCAAACACGCCCCCAUGGGUGUGACGGAGGCCAAGAGCAGUUGGAAUGGGAGCCCCCUCUCCAAUACCUAAGAGGUCACCUCUGAGAGGGGUCCCAGGCUGUGACCCACAUCUGUGACCCACAUCUGUGACCC
ensembl:antisense